GCCCGAGAGACAGCGGAGAUUCAUUACCCGUCGACACAAUGACCAUUGAUGGCCCCGUGGCGUUAUUCAAAUCCAGUACCAAUUGCAGCCGAGCCCCUUUCUCCGCGCCAGGCCCGUAUUGUUGGAGCGGCCCACUAAAAGCCCGCCCCGGCCCCGAGCCGCCAGAGGCGCCCGCUCGGGUUCAGCCCUGCACCUCGCCAGCACGCUGGCUCCUGGUCCGGCUCCCUGGGCGCUGCAGGUGACCCAGCGGCGCAUUCCGGCGCUUCCCGCCGCCCGGGCUACCGCCACCCGCGACUCAGCUACAAGGAAGCAGAGAGCGCCCGAGCUGGGACUCUUGGCCACGGUGGAAGGAAACACGCUGGGGGCGAUGGGGAUGCCGGUGCAGGGCCGGGAUCUGCAUGCCCGCUCGUCCACCUUACCGCGGGAUGGGCUGCGACUGAUGAGCUUCUGCAAGGUAUUCCGACGCGCAGCUCCCGAGAUCCGUUGUGCGCUUUUAAGGAGCCAGGCAGAACCCCGCAGGAGACCGGGGCCCUGAACUCAGGGGCUUCGCCACUGAUUGUCCAAACGCAAUUCUUGUACGAGUCUGCGGCCAACCGAGAAUUGUGGCUGGACAUCUGUGGUUGAGCUCCGGGCUCAACAGAAACCGGGUCCGUGCUGGGGUUAGGAGACCCCGGGCGGCGGCCGGCAGGUCCCAGCACGGCAUAGUGGCCCCAGACUGGCGCGCAAAGAAGGGACAGUAGUUCUUGCGACCAGAGCCGCCAUCCUCACCCUCGCCUCCUUCCUUCGUCUCCUCCUCUUAGGGUGACCCGUGUCGGCUGGCAGGGUCCUCCAGUUGAUCGCACCGAUUUUCCGUUUUCCAAUUUCAGCUGUAAUGAAGCUGGCACACAGCGGCGGGACCCGAAUGUGGUCGUUGGCCAAAGCCGCAGUUAGUCGGGGGUGAAGGCAGAUGCCAGCAGAAUUCGUUUGCUAACUCGUUUUGAAUUUAUUCCAACCUGUCCCCUAACCAGCACUCCCAAACAACACCCCCCCCCCAAAAAAAAUCCGAAAUCAACCCGUAUAUCCCAAACCAGCCAACCAACCCCUCCCACAAGCUCCUCUGGACGAGUGAUGGGCUGAGCCUCCCACCGCUGCCAGAAACCUGCCAGAAACCGACAAGCUGGGGAAUGAUGCGCUCCAGCCGGGCAACCGCCUAGGCUUUGGAAAUAAGAACUUGGACAAACGAAACCUUUUCAUUAAAGAAAAAUCUUCGAAGGUAGUGG
rnacentral:lncRNA from 1 species